AGAAUGAACGUUGGCGGCGUGGAUUAGGCAUGCAAGUCGAACGGGCCGCAAGGCCAGUGGCGGAAGGGUGAGUAAGGCGACGGUAACCAACCCCAUGGUUGGGUAUAGCCGCGGGAAACUGCGGGUAAUCCCCAGCGACGUCCGGAUCGGACAUCCGAUCUUGACCAAAGUUCUAACGCCGUGGGACGGGCCGUCGUGGUAUUAGGUAGUUGGCGGGGUAAUGGCCCACCAAGCCUAUGAUGCCUACCGGGCGUGCGAGCGUGGCCCGGCACACUGGGACUGAGACACUGCCCAGACUCCUACGGGAGGCUGCAGUCGAGAAUCUUCGGCAAUGGGCGCAAGCCUGACCGAGCGACGCCGCGUGGAGGAUGAAGGCCUUCGGGUUGUAAACUCCUGUCGAGGGGAGGAAGGUUGGGUAACCGGCUUGACCGAUCCCUGGAGGAAGCACGGGCUAAGUUCGCGCCAGCAGCCGC
rnacentral:rRNA from 1 species